CCUCCGUAGCUCAGCGGCAGAGCGCUUGUUUCGUAAACAAGAAGUCGGGAGUUCAAACCCAUAUGGGGGG
rnacentral:tRNA from 1 species